CAGCAGCCACGGGAAUACGAAGGGGGCUAGCGUUGCUCGGAAUUACUGGGCGUAAAGGGCGCGUAGGCGGACAGUUCAGUCGGGGGUGAAAGCCCGGGGCUCAACCUCGGAAUUGCCUUCGAUACUGGCUGUCUUGAGUAUGAGAGAGGUGUGUGGAACUCCGAGUGUAGAGGUGAAAUUCGUAGAUAUUCGGAAGAACACCAGUGGCGAAGGCGACACACUGGCUCAUUACUGACGCUGAGGCGCGAAAGCGUGGGGAGCGAACAGGAUUAGAUACCCCCGUAGUCCCUGUCUCUUAUAC
rnacentral:rRNA from 1 species